GGCGGACGGGUGAGUAAUGCCUAGGAAUCUGCCUGGUAGUGGGGGAUAACGUUCGGAAACGGACGCUAAUACCGCAUACGUCCUACGGGAGAAAGCAGGGGACCUUCAGGCCUUGCGCUAUCAGAUGAGCCUAGGUCGGAUUAACUAGUUGGUGGGGUAAUGGCUCACCAAGGCGACGAUCCGUAACUGGUCUGAGAGGAUGAUCAGUCACACUGGAACUGAGACACGGUCCAGACUCCUACGGGAGGCAGCAGUGGGGAAUAUUGGACAAUGGGCGAAAGCCUGAUCCAGCCAUGCCGCGUGUGUGAAGAAGGUCUUCGGAUUGUAAAGCACUUUAAGUUGGGAGGAAGGGUUGUAGAUUAAUACUCUGCAAUUUUGACGUUACCGACAGAAUAAGCACCGGCUAACUCUGUGCCAGCAGCCGCGGUAAUACAGA
rnacentral:rRNA from 1 species